rnacentral:lncRNA from 1 species
CACACAAUAGGUAUUUAUUUGAAGGGAGUUAACAAGAUCAAUCACAUAUCCAAUAAGUGUUGUUUCUAUUAUUAGACAAACAAAUGACCCAGAACAAUCGGUUUAACUUACAAGCUACAAUUAUAAAACCCCAACUCAUCCAUCAAAUCUUUCUUCUAAUGGCAAUGGAAGAAGAGAAGCCUUGGUGUCACUCGGAUGACAAUUUUUGCACAUAUAUUGC